CUACACUCACCCCCAACGUUCACCUCAUCUCGUUACCAUCCAUCUCCCCUCAUAUAUUCCUACUGUUCACACAACUUAAAUCACCUUCUUCAUUUUUGCACACAAACAAAAUGUGACCUGCAACUUUCAUAUGACAACACUUCUUCACACCAAAACCUCCUUCUUCUCCAUAACCACCUUCCUCAACCACCCUCAUUAAAUACUUUCCCGGACCACCUUGAUCACCACCACAAAGCUCACCGCCGACGAGUAUUCAACGUCUCCAUCCACCACUUACCACUUAACACCACGAAAAAAAUCUUCACUUCAAGCUUCCAUGUAAAAUCAUAAACUCCUUCAUUAUAACUUAUGACUAACCUCACUCAAACACAUAUCAAACUUCCUUCCUCUAUUUUUCUUCACAUGAAAUUUGUUUCACCUUUAUCCUUGGCAUCGUAGCACCUUCUACAAGCAAAAACAACACUACAUCAUAUCUCUUUUUCCACCCCUUCAUAUCCUCCACAAAC
rnacentral:lncRNA from 1 species